GAUGAGUCUAAGUCGCUUCAGCAAUAGUUUUGUGUACAGAGGUCAAUGGAGAUGGAAAGUAUGAGCGGAUAAGUGGAACAAGCCUUUGGUGGAGGCACAGUUUUAGGUCUUGGUGGAGGCACAAUUUUAGCCAAAAGAAGCCUUAUGAUCUUAGCAAAGCAACGAUGCGCAAGAAAAUAAGGUUCACUGUUUCUCCCGAGGAGAUUGAUGAUGAUACAUCAGAGAUUCCAUCCCCGCCAAAGAAAACUUACAAGGAUCCCGACGGUGGAAGGCAACAGUUCUUACUGGAACUUGAAUUCAUUCA